GAUGAACGCUGGCGGCGUGCCUAAUACAUGCAAGUCGAGCGAACGGACGAGAAGCUUGCUUCUCUGAUGUUAGCGGCGGACGGGUGAGUAACACGUGGAUAACCUACCUAUAAGACUGGGAUAACUUCGGGGAACCGGAGCUAAUACCGGAUAAUAUUUUGAACCGCAUGGUUCAAAAGUAAAAGACGGUCUUGCUGUCACUUAUAGAUGGAUCCGCGCUGCAUUAGCUAGUUGGUAAGGUAACGGCUUACCAAGGCAACGAUGCAUAGCCGACCUGAGAGGGUGAUCGGCCACACUGGAACUGAGACACGGUCCAGACUCCUACGGGAGGCAGCAGUAGGGAAUCUUCCGCAAUGGGCGAAAGCCUGACGGAGCAACGCCGCGUGAGUGAUGAAGGUCUUCGGAUCGUAAAACUCUGUUAUUAGGGAAGAACAUAUGUGUAAGUAACUGUGCACAUCUUGACGGUACCUAAUCAGAAAGCCACGGCUAACUACGU
rnacentral:rRNA from 1 species